UCUGUCAAUCUAAUUUAAAUUAUUUUUCAACGUUUGUCUAUAGGGUGGGUGGUUGCUUCUUGCUCAUCUCUUUUCAUCGCACUCCACGCAUCGAGCCACCAGUGGAUGUAUAAGUCAGCUGACGUGUCAUCUCCAGCCACCAGCAACUUAUCAGGAAGAACUUUAUUCGGGUGUCUUUGCUGUGAGAGUGUCUCGUGCCCUAUUGAACAAGAUGUUUCAACUAAGUUGCGUGCCAAUUAAAGGUGAACCCGAGUGGAGGCGUUGCUGUUCUCCGCUGCUCUCUGCAGUGUAUUGGUGUCCAGUUUUGCGCAUGUAGUGCUGUGUUGUAAUUGAAGCAAGUGAGGUGUAUUCUGUGAUGUUUCACCGGACUUUUGAACAAGUAUUUCUGUGGUGUAAUUAUAGAUGAAGAUGGAUGGAACACAUUUCACAGGCUGAUGCACUUCCCCACUUUAACAAACCUUUUCAGCAAUAUAUCACCAUAGGGUACCAAUACCAAAGGUUUUCCAAGUCAUCUCCCUGCAAGCAACAAACAUCUUUUUGCUGUGGUCUGCUUUUCAAGACUGGCCUCCUCUCCCUGUGAUUUUCUGUAGCAUGUGAUGUGUUUGUUGCUGCUACUAUUGACAACGAUCCCAAUUCUUUUCAGUAGAUUUGUCAGGUGAUAAUUGUUUUAAACAAUCAAGCUCCUCCUUGCCUCCAGAUGGAGCUUCUCUUCACUCUCGAAUGCUGAAAAUGAAUCACUGCUGUACAGCAAGAAGAACAACGCUAUCAGUGGAAAUUCAUUAUUGCAGCAUAUGUCUUCUCUUGGCCAUCAGCAAGUCAUUUG